rnacentral:rRNA from 1 species
GGCUCAGAACGAACACUGGCGGCGUGCCUAACACAUGCAAGUCGAACGGAUUUGAGGGGCUUGCUCCUCAAGUUAGUGGCGCACGGGUGAGUAACGCGUAGAUAAUCUGCCUGAUGAUUCGGGAUAACACUUCGAAAGGGGUGCUAAUACCGGAUAAGCCCACGUGGUCUUUGGAUCGUGCGGGAAAAGGGGGGGACCUUCGGGCCUUCUGUCAUCAGAUGAGUCUGCGUACCAUUAGCUAGUUGGUAGGGUAAUGGCCUACCAAGGCUACGAUGGUUAGCUGGUUUGAGAGAAUGAUCAGCCACACUGGAACUGAGACACGGUCCAGACUCCUACGGGAGGCAGCAGUGGGGAAUUUUGCGCAAUGGGCGAAAGCUUGACGCAGCAACGCCGCGUGAGUGAUGAAGGCUUUCGGGUCGUAAAGCUCUGUCGAGGGGAAAGAAGUGUACGGGGGCUAAUAUCCUCUGUACUUGACGGUACCCCUAAAGGAAGCACCGGCUAACUCCGUGCCAGCAGCCGCGGUAAUACGGGGGGUGCAAGCGUUGUUCGGAAUUAUUGGGCGUAAAGAGCGUGUAGGCGGUUUGUUAAGUCUGAUGUGAAAGCCCUGGGCUCAACCCAGGAAGUGCAUUGGAAACUGGCAGACUUGAAUACGGGAGAGGGCAGUGGAAUUCCUAGUGUAGGAGUGAAAUCCGUAGAUAUUAGGAGGAACACCGGUGGCGAAGGCGGCUGCCUGGACCGAUAUUGACGCUGAGACGCGAAAGCGUGGGUAGCAAACAGGAUUAGAUACCCUGGUAGUCCACGCCGUAAACGAUGAGAACUAGGUGUUGCGGGUAUUGACCCCUGCAGUGCCGCAGCUAACGCAUUAAGUUCUCCGCCUGGGAAGUACGGUCGCAAGAC